rnacentral:rRNA from 1 species
UACGGAGGGUGCAAGCGUUAUCCGGAUUCACUGGGUUUAAAGGGUGCGUAGGUGGGCAGGUAAGUCCGUGGUGAAAUCUCUGAGCUUAACUCAGAAACUGCCGUGGAUACUAUUUGUCUUGAAUAUAGUGGAGGUGAGCGGAAUAUGUCAUGUAGCGGUGAAAUGCUUAGAUAUGACAUAGAACACCUAUUGCGAAGGCAGCUCGCUACACUAUUAUUGACGCUGAGGCACGAAAGCGUGGGGAUCAAACAGG